rnacentral:rRNA from 1 species
UCGGGAAUAUUGCGCAAUGGAGGAAACUCUGACGCAGUGACGCCGCGUGCAGGAAGAAGGUUUUCGGAUUGUAAACUGCUUUAGACAGGGAAGAUACAAGACAGUACCUGUAGAAUAAGCUCCGGCUAACUACGUGCCAGCAGCCGCGGUAAUACGUAGGGGGCAAGCGUUAUCCGGAUUUAUUGGGUGUAAAGGGUGCGUAGACGGGAAAACAAGUUAGUUGUGAAAUCCCUCGGCUUAACUGAGGAACUGCAACUAAAACUAUUUUUCUUGAGUGCUGGAGAGGAAAGUGGAAUUCCUAGUGUAGCGGUGAAAUGCGUAGAUAUUAGGAGGAACACCAGUGGCGAAGGCGACUUUCUGGACAGUAACUGACGUUGAGGCACGAAAGUGUGGGGAGCAAACA